UCCCCGGUGGCUUAGAUGGUAAAGUGUCUGCCCACAGUGCAGGAAACCUGGGUUUGAUCCCCGGAUCGGGAA
rnacentral:tRNA from 1 species